GAGUAGAAAUAGAGAAGGAAGGAAAAGAUACCCAUAAACUGUAAUUCCGUUUGGAAAAAAAUAUAUAGUUCUUAUGUUCUUACAGAAGGAAUUGUUUUUUUCAAGUAUCUAAAUACCUAAAAUAUAUAACAAAGAACUCAUGAUAAAAUAAAUCACAAAAAUGAAAACUAUUAUAUGUCACAUUAGUAAGAAAAGAACUCUGUAUGGUUCAAGGCAAACCAUGAUGAUGUGAAGCACAGUGUUGCCUUUAAAAGGAUCAUGAUGUCAUAGUGGCCACAUUAAGAAAAUGGACAGAGUUGUACAUCAUAAUGGUUCAUGGUGAUUUAGGAAUUGAACAUUACCUUUUUAGAAUUUGGCAGGCAACUGUUUUAGAAUGCUGAAUUGGGAAAUGCAAAUGUAUUUUACAUAUCUCCUUCCUUUAUAUAACAGAAGGAAAAAAUAAGGUACUAGAAAGUUUCCAUGGGUCUGACGUAGUCCCAAAACAUUGAGGGUAUGAUGGACAACUAGUUCUAACUGCUCUGUUCCCACUGACUUCUAUGGAGUCCCUCAUUGUCUUGCUGAGUUCUCAGAGGUCAUUCUAUACUAAUUCUUACUACAUUAUUCCUGUUCUCAUCUGGUCCAUUGAGUUCAGCAAAUCUCUCUUCUUCAAUAGCCACGCUGAGACCAAGAGAAAUAAUUUUGUUGUUGCUCCCACAGUGUCGUGUUUGGGGAACUUUUUGAGUCUAAUUAAGCCCCAAUCUGCCUGGAAAUUCCAUGAAAUGGUUUUUAUUUUUUGCCCCAUUUUGUAUUGCAUGCAUAUUAUUCUGCUGUGGCUGUGCACUCUGGGACUGAAAGAGCUCUGUUACACCUUCUAAAGCUCUAUCUGCAUAAACACACAAUUAUGUCAUCUUUCCCUGGAGACUCACUGCCUUGCUAAUCUGUUAGUGGGAGAUAGAUGCAAUUACACUCUCGUCUCAGUGCCUCAAAUAUGUACAGAAUGAAUGGAUUAUGUAAAAAUAACAAAAUGUAAUACAAAAUAAACUAGACAGACUAUUUACCUGGUUCUAUAUUCCUGUUUUCUUUCUUUUCCUCUUUUAAUAAGGAGAUGUUUUUCCUUCUUCCGGUUGCAGUCUUCUCUUUUCUGGGCUUUGAAAUCCAUCUUUUACUUUCUGAGGCACUUGUUUCUGCACUUGACCAAUUCCCAUUUACCGACUCAUGCUGGUGACAAUGAUGAUGAUGCCAUGUGUCAGGGUAAAGUCAAUAAAUAAUAAAGGCAGCUCCUUAGAUGGUAUCAAGAUACAAGAAGAUGGCACAGGAAGAUGACACCUGCUUUAGAUAGCAUUAAUUCCUUCAGAAGAAGGUGAGGGAUUAAAUACCUGACUGUGGCAUAAAGGAGGAAGGAGGAUAUCUAUGUCACCUCUUGGUGGUGAGGUUUAUGGACUGAGAAAUAAAAACAAAACAAAACAAAACAAAA